GGUGGAGUGGCUGAAGGGUAAGGUGGUGGCCUUCCAAGCCACGAGGAGUCAGAGGGAAGUGCAUGCAGCAAAUUAAGGAACGUGCUUGUCAUUUUUCCACCA
rnacentral:tRNA from 1 species